UCUGCUUUUUUUUUUUUUUCCGCAGAGUGUCACUCUGUCACCCAGGCUGGAGUGCAGUGGCACAAUCUCGGCUCACUGCAACCUCUGCCUCCCAGGUUCAAGCGAUUCUUCUGCCUCAGCCUCCCAAGUAGCUGGGACCACAGACACUGUGGGAGGCUUGAGGCCCAUGACAUCAAUUUAGGCAUCCGGAGAAGCUGGUAGGUGAAGCUGAAAUUCGAGGGAGAUUGGGUGAAGUUAGAGGCCAUGAGUGGGCUCACACCCAGCACUGACUACAGCAGACAGGUAAGUGUCAUUGACUUUCUAUCUAUUUGGAGAC
rnacentral:lncRNA from 10 species